rnacentral:rRNA from 1 species
AAGACCUUGCGCUUUUGGAGCGGCCGAUGUCUGAUUAGCUGGUUGGUGGGGUAAUGGCCUACCAAAGCUUCGAUCAGUAGCUGGUCUGAGAGGACGGCCAGCCACACUGGGACUGAGACACGGCCCAGACUCCUACGGGAGGCAGCAGUGGGGAAUUUUGGACAAUGGGCGCAAGCCUGAUCCAGCCAUGCCGCGUGAGUGAAGAAGGCCUUCGGGUUGUAAAGCUCUUUCAGCCGGGAAGAAAAGGUUGCGAUUAAUAAUCGCAAUUGAUGACGGUACCGGAAGAAGAAGCACCGGCUAACUACGUGCCAGCAGCCGCGGUAAUACGUAGGGUGCGAGCGUUAAUCGGAAUUACUGGGCGUAAAGGGUGCGCAGGCGGUUUUGUAAGUCAGAUGUGAAAUCCCCGGGCUUAACCUGGGAACU